ACACAUACAGUCUUUGCAUGAUCAGAAGAAUGAAGAGCAAUGAGUUUCAAACAGAAGUGUGUGGAACUCAAUGAUGGCCACCUCAUGCCGGUACUGGGCUAUGGCACUUAUCAAAAUCCAGAGGUUCCUGCAAGUAAGAUUUUAGAGUCUACUAAAAUGGCAAUAGAUACUGGGUUCCACCAUAUUGAUUCUGCUUAUGUGUACAAAAAUGAAAAGGAAACAGGACAGGCUAUUUGAAGUAAGAUUGCUGAAGGUGUUUUGAAGAGAGAAGACAUAUUUCUCACUACAAAGCCUGAGGAACCAAGGGGACUCUGCAUUAGCAGCAAGGGUGGAAAACUGGAGACGAGUCAUUGCUUCUGCCUCGGUGGGAGGAGGAUCUUCUUCGUCUGAGUCCUGGAUAUCCAGCUGAUGGUAGUGGACUACAACUGGCUUACUUAAAGCAGCUUCAAUCUUCUUGUUCACCACCCAGAGUAUCCAUUUUUGGAGGAAUAUUAACAUGGGGACCUAAUCAUGACUUCUGCCUGAUGUCCCUGUGUGUGGACAGUGAUGCUGGUGAUAUGACCAAAAUGCUGUUGGAUGGAUUUGUCAUUUCUGAUCAAUCUGGGUUGCUUAGCAAUUCACAUUCAGCCGAAGCUUCAGUUAAUGAUCUCAAAGAAAAGGAAUAUAAUUUUGAUUAUGUUUUGAAAUAAAAA